CCUACGGGAGGCAGCAGUGAGGAAUAUUGGUCAAUGGGCUUACGCCUGAACCAGCCAAGUCGCGUGAGGGAAGACUGCCCUAUGGGUUGUAAACCUCUUUUGUCAGGGAGCAAUUGGCGCUACGUGUAGCGUUAUCGAGAGUACCUGAAGAAAAAGCAUCGGCUAACUCCGUGCCAGCAGCCGCGGUAAUCCGGAGGAUGCGAGCGUUAUCCGGAUUUAUUGGGUUUAAAGGGUGCGUAGGCGGAAUGCCAAGUCAGCGGGAAAAUCGCGGGGCUCAACCUCGCUCCGCCGUUGAAACUGGCGUUCUUGAGUGGGCGAGAAGUAUGCGGAAUGCGUGGUGUAGCGGUGAAAUGCAUAGAUAUCACGCAGAACUCCGAUUGCGAAGGCAGCAUACCGGCGCCCAACUGACGCUGAAGCACGAAAGCGUGGGUAUCGAACAGGAUUAGAUACCCUAGUAGUC
rnacentral:rRNA from 1 species